UACGGGGGGAGCAAGCGUUGUUCGGAUUUACUGGGCGUAAAGGGCGCGUAGGCGGCCACGACAAGUCACUUGUGAAAUCUCCGGGCUUAACUCGGAAAGGUCAAGUGAUACUGUCGGGCUAGAGUGCAGAAGGGGCAACUGGAAUUCUCGGUGUAGCGGUGAAAUGCGUAGAUAUCGAGAGGAACACCUGCGGCGAAGGCGGGUUGCUGGGCCGACACUGACGCUGAUGCGCGAAAGCCAGGGGAGCGAACGGG
rnacentral:rRNA from 1 species